AAAGGCUGGAUAAUAUCUUGCUGAAGCGUCCACCUGCCUUACGAGUUUCUUCGACACAGGAGGGUCUAUCUGAUCUAACUUCUGAUACCUCUUGCGAGUUUCUUCGACACAGGAUGGUCUAUCUGAUCUAACUUCUGAUACCCUUGUGAGAAGCAAAAAUCCUUCAGAUGCCAUGGCUUCUGAAAGUAGGCUGUCUUUUUCCUUUUGCCUUCUGAAUGUGUUUGGAUUUUAUUAUGUUUCAUUUCUAUUUUGCACCUUGCACCUUAAAGAUGCAUGUGAGGACUGCACCAAUUAUUUUUAUCUCUGCUAUUCCCAUUGUGGCACUUGUAACAGUAAAAUUCCC
rnacentral:lncRNA from 1 species